GCUAGUGGAUGUGAAGUGGUAUCUCAUUGUGGUUUUGGCUUGCAUACUCCUCAUGAUUAAGGAUGCUGAACUUCUUUUCAUAUGCUUAUUGGCCAUUUGUGUAUAUAUCUUCUUUUAGAGAAAUGUCUAUUUAAGUCCUUUGACCCAUUUAUGUGUCCUUGCCCCUGGUGAGGUCUCUCUUAUUCUGUUGCUUGGCUGGUCCCUAUCCUGCCAAUAGUAAUGGGCCCUUCUUCACCCUGAUGAUGGCCCUGUUGGCCUGUCGGCAAUCCCUGGGACCUCUUCUUGGGUGUGAAUUCCUGGGUAACAUUUCUAAUGAAGUCAUCCAUUCCCACCAAGUGGAAUACUUAGUUAACUGGCAUUUCUCUACUUUCAGGUUGUUGGCAUGGAGUAGAGGGUGAGGAGGCCCAUCCCAAGCAGAAUGUUUCUGUAGAAGUGUUACAGGUCAGGAUCCCUAAUGCAGAUCCUUCCACCAAGAAAGCUAACUCCUGUGACAUGUGUGGGCCAUUCUUGAAAGACAUUUUGCACCUGGCUGAGCAUCAGGGAACACACUCUGAGGAGAAACCCUACACAUGUGGAGCAUGUGGGAGAGACUUUUGGUUGAAUGCAAACCUUCACCAGCACCAGAAGGAGCAUAGUGGAGGGAAGCCCUUUAGAUGGUACAAGGACAGGGACGCACUUUUGAAGAGCUCUAAAGUCCACCUGUCAGAGAACCCCUUCACUUGCAGGGAAGGUGGGAAGGUCAUCCUGGGCAGCUGUGACCUCCUCCAGCUUCAAGCUGUUGACAGCGGGCAGAAGCCAUAUUCCAAUCUUGGGCAGCUUCCAGAAGUCUGUACCACACAGAAACUCUUCGAGUGCAGCAACUGUGGAAAAGCCUUCCUGAAGAGCUCCACUCUCCUCAACCAUCUGAGAACUCACUCUGAAGAGAUACCAUUUACAUGCCCAACAGAUGGAAAUUUCUUAGAGGAGAAAUCAAUCCUUGGUAAUCAAAAAUUUCACACUGGGGAAAUACCCCAUGUGUGUAAGGAGUGUGGGAAGGCCUUUAGUCACUCAUCUAAGCUGAGGAAGCACCAGAAAUUUCACACUGAAGUAAAAUAUUAUGAGUGCAUUGCAUGUGGGAAAACCUUCAACCACAAACUCACAUUUGUUCAUCAUCAGAGAAUUCACUCAGGAGAAAGACCUUAUGAGUGCAGUGAAUGUGGGAAAGCAUUCAGUAACAGAUCACACCUCAUUCGGCAUGAGAAAGUUCACACUGGAGAAAGGCCUUUUGAGUGCCUGAAAUGUGGAAGAGCCUUCAGCCAAAGCUCCAAUUUCCUUCGGCAUCAGAAAGUUCACACACAGGUAAGACCUUAUGGGUGCAGUCAAUGUGGUAAAUCCUUCAGCCGAAGCUCUGCUCUCAUUCAGCACUGGAGAGUUCACACUGGAGAAAGACCGUAUGAAUGCAGUGAGUGUGGAAGAGCUUUUAACAAUAACUCCAACCUUGCUCAGCACCAGAAAGUUCACACUGGAGAACGGCCUUUUGAGUGCAGUGAAUGUGGAAGAGACUUCAGCCAAAGCUCCCAUCUCCUUCGACAUCAGAAAGUUCACACUGGAGAACGGCCUUUUGAAUGCAGUGAUUGUGGUAAAGCCUUCGGUAAUAGCUCCACCCUCAUCCAGCACCAGAAAGUACAUACUGGGCAAAGGCCUUAUGAGUGCAGCGAAUGUAGGAAAUCCUUCAGCCGCAGCUCCAGCCUGAUUCAGCACUGGAGAAUUCACACUGGAGAAAAGCCUUAUGAGUGUAGUGAGUGUGGGAAAGCCUUUGCUCACAGCUCCACUCUCAUUGAACACUGGAGAGUUCACACAAAAGAAAGGCCGUAUGAGUGCAAUGAAUGUGGGAAAUUCUUUAGCCAAAACUCCAUUCUCAUUAAGCAUCAGAAAGUUCAUACUGGAGAAAAGCCUUAUAAAUGCAGUGAAUGUGGGAAAUUCUUUAGCCGAAAAUCUAGUCUUAUUUGUCACUGGAGAGUUCACACUGGAGAAAGGCCUUAUGAAUGCAGUGAAUGUGGGAGAGCCUUUAGCAGUAACUCCCACCUGGUUCGUCAUCAGAGAGUUCACACACAAGAAAGGCCCUAUGAGUGCAUCCAGUGUGGAAAAGCCUUUAGUGAAAGAUCUACACUUGUUCGGCACCAGAAAGUUCACACCAGAGAAAGGACUUAUGAGUGUAGCCAGUGUGGGAAACUCUUCAGCCAUCUUUGUAACCUUGCACAGCAUAAAAAGAUUCAUACCUGAGUAGAGCCUUAUGGAAGUGGUCUUUGUGAGAAAAUCUUCAGCCAAGUCAAACUUCAUGCAGCAGAAUCCCCAUACCAGAAAAAUUACCUACAUG
rnacentral:sRNA from 1 species